UGUCCAGUAGCACCUUAUAGACCAACUAAGUUUGUUCUGAUAUAAACAAACUUAGUUGGUCUAUAAGGUGCUACUGGACA